UUCCCGUACGAUCACUGAAGCUAAGCAGCGGUGAGCCUGGUCAAUACCUCGAUGGGUGACCACUUGGGAAUACCACCUGCUGUAA